GCAACCCUGAUCCAGCAAUGCCGCGUGUGGGAAGAAGGCCUUCGGGUUGUAAACCACUUUUGGCAGGGAAGAAAUGUCGAAUAUUAAUACCAUUCGGCGAUGACGGUACCUGCAGAAUAAGCACCGGCUAACUACGUGCCAGCAGCCGCGGUAAUACGUAGGGUGCAAGCGUUAAUCGGAAUUACUGGGCGUAAAGCGUGCGCAGGCGGUUGGAUAAGACAGGUGUGAAAUUCCCGGGCUCAACCUGGGAACUGCAUUUGUGACUGUUCGACUAGAGUGCGGCAGA
rnacentral:rRNA from 1 species